CAGAGAGAGAGAGAAGCCACAUUCCACCCUUAUCUGUUGUCUUGCACCAAACAGCACCCCGUACUGAGGAGGGAGAGAGAGCGUGUUCUCCUGAAGGAGGGAGAGAGUCACAGGGAGACACACAGUGGAUAUUCACAUUAUGGCUAAUUUGUUUAGUUUUAGUUUUGUUUUUUGUCUUCCUAGGACAACAGUUAUCAUUCAUGAUGAUGAACAUCGAAGUUCAUGAGGAGGUUAUAAGGACAAUAACGUUGAUACUGUUGUGUUCACAGCAGUUUGCUGUGUUUUUUCCACCUCCUGGGUCUGCCACUCCUCCUGUCUGUCUCACUUCACACCUGGACCUAUUCUGCAAUCAUGCUCACCUGGUCUUCAUCUCCAAUCAACUCCCCUUCAUAAACCCUUGGAUUCCCUGCUGUCGGUGCCAGAUCGUACUACGCACUACUGUGUUAUCCGGAUCCCUCACUCCAGCUCGCCUGCUUCGCUCCUUCCCCGGCAACCUCAUCCAAUACCCGCCUCCUCGCCUCGUUCAAUAAACCCUUUUUCCUUCAACUCAA